UUCUUUCAUGUCUUUGAUUCACUACGUACUAACCUUGUUCUCAUAUUAUCCAGCUCUUGUAAUCUGUUCCGCUCUUGUCCUCCAACUCUAAUUCCUAUUCAUUACAUUCAGUCCAGAACCUACUGUACCCGUUGAAGCUGGGGUGAGAGUGAUGGGAUUAGAGGGGUCCUGGAAAAUGGGUUUUGGUUGAAAUGGAAGGCUGCCAACUGCAACGAUUGCGAGAAAAGUGGAGGGUUUUUUGGGUUUGGGUUCGUGUUCGACGACGACAACAUUAACUACUGUUCCCAGUGCUUCUGCGCAGAUAGAGCUCAUUAUGUAGGUUGUAAAAAUUGUGAUGGAUUCAGCGAUGCGUUCGGUAGGUUCAGCCUGCCCAUCUACAUCUCUUUCGGCGUAUGAGAAUCUCAAGGUACAUACAGUUUUGCUUGACAGUGCGGGAAUGAGGCGGACUAUUCAGCUUCAAAGAAAAACACAAGACUCUGGACGUGCUUGGAGAUUAUUCAACAUCAAUGGUAUUGGAGACUUCCUGGGUGUGCUUUCUUUUUGAAUCUGCAGAAUCAAGCUGAUCAAUACAUGCUAAAAUCGACCCUCUGUUUUCAGCUAUAGAGGUCUUCCCAAACUCCCAUGGCAGGUUAGUUUAUGUUUUGUGUAUUGGGUUUAUCAUUUUGGAAUUUCUUUUUGUUUUUGAAAGCAAAAUAGAUUUCUUUUUGAAAUGGUAUUGUGUGAAAGAGACGUAGAUGGGCAAGCUGAAGCUACAGAAAGCAUCGCCGAAGCCAUCUGAAUCAACAACAAAAAAGAUAAGACAGAUAUAGAAUCUGAGAGUCACUGAAAUUGCUAAAAUCAAACAGUUCAACGAAAAUUGCAGACGGAUCAUUUCUCAAACGGACGUUUUCUUGCCCGUCAGCCUUCAGUUGUGUUUCUUAAGUGAAACGACGAUGUUUUUAGAAAAAAAAAUCUUGACCCUUUAUUUUUCUACGGCAGAUGUGUUGUAGUUUUACACUACAGCACUGAAGCGAGAUUCUGUUAAUAAUGCCUAGAGUCUUCUUUAUGUAAACCAUCUUGAGAAUUAAGAAAUAUGCAUCCUUUUGUCCAAAAAUCGUUCAUUUUAAACUUCGUCCUUUUCACGCUAUUAAUUAGGACCCAAAACAAUCGUUGGGUUCGUCUGCUUCCUUACACGUGCAUGAGCUCUUGUUGAGUUUGGAAUUCUCAAGAAAAGAAGAAAAAAAAUGUUAAAACAGUAGACUUCGUGCUGUUCUUUUUCUAUUACUUAAUCGUUAAGACUGUGUUGUUCUUAAAAAAAGUUAAAUGUUAAAAACCGUUAGUGCCGUUUAAAACAGUCCGUGAGUUAUUUUUUUUUAUAUAUAGAUAAACAGUCCGUGAGUUAUUUGAAUGGAAGACGUCAUAUGCCUUAAAAAUUCUGUCAUUCAAUCCUCAUAGUUGGUUUUUUAACGGCAUAUGUGCUGUUCUUUUCUUUUAUAACAUUGAGAUUCGUCUUAUAAGUGAUAUCUCAUAAUUAUAUAUUUAAAGUUUUUUAAAUUCAAACAAAUAAUUAUAAAAUAUUCUGAUCCCCAAUUAUAGUAGAAAUUUUAGUCAAUGCUCUCUAAUUAAGGCCUCGUUAUGAUGUAAAAAAAUUUAUCAUGUUAAAAGAUGAAAAAUAUACGCAGUGUAUUGCGACUUUAAGGGAGAAAGAGAGAAGGAAAAAUCACAAAGAUGGAAGAAGACCUCGAUUAUAGUAACAAUGUUUGUCAAUGCUAUUUAAUUAAUAACCCAAUUAUGAAUUUAUGAUAAAAUGAUUUAAUUAAACGACUAUGAGAUAUGAUACAUUGCCUCCUCAAGACACAAUUACUGACUACGCACUAAAGAGAAAAAGAAGAAAGAAGAGAGGUGUUUGAAGAUGAGAGAGGCUCCGUGCCUCCUUCCCCCCAAUGGUGCUUUCCUCCUAGGGCUAUGGAGGUUUUUUUUUUUUUUUUUUU